UGCGUUCCAUUAGAUAGUAGGCGGGGUAACGGCCCACCUAGUCUUCGAUGGAUAGGGGUUCUGAGAGGAAGGUCCCCCACAUUGGAACUGAGACACGGUCCAAACUCCUACGGGAGGCAGCAGUGAGGAAUAUUGGUCAAUGGGCGAGAGCCUGAACCAGCCAAGUAGCGUGAAGGAUGACUGCCCUAUGGGUUGUAAACUUCUUUUAUAAAGGAAUAAAGUCGGGUAUGGAUACCCGUUUGCAUGUACUUUAUGAAUAAGGAUCGGCUAACUCCGUGCCAGCAGCCGCGGUAAUACGGAGGAUCCGAGCGUUAUCCGGAUUUAUUGGGUUUAAAGGGAGCGUAGAUGGAUGUUUAAGUCAGUUGUGAAAGUUUGCGGCUCAACCGUAAAAUUGCAGUUGAUACUGGAUAUCUUGAGUGCAGUUGAGGCAGGCGGAAUUCGUGGUGUAGCGGUGAAAUGCUUAGAUAUCACGAAGAACUCCGAUUGCGAAGGCAGCCUGCUAAGCUGCAACUGACAUUGAGGCUCGAAAGUGUGGGUAUCAAACAGGAUUAGAUACCCUGGUAGUCCACACGGUAAACGAUGAAUACUCGCUGUUUGCGAUAUACUGCAA
rnacentral:rRNA from 1 species